rnacentral:misc_RNA from 1 species
GAUUCGCGUGCCCGUGAUGUUGCAAGGGCUCCUGUGUGUGCUGCUUCUAACCACCUCUGCAUUUGCCUAUCCAAUCGUAGUGGUACCGGUGGACUGGGCUAACGUCCCAAACAGCACGCCAGAUGCUCGUAAUUUGAACUCCCCUUAUUUAGGGGAGUGUGUUUGCGAUGUUACUCGAGGUAUUUGUGAUUCGUUCUGUUGUUGCGAUGAGGACUGCGAUGCCAGUGCUCGAGCAGCGUUCUUCUACUGCCUCCCUGAAAAGUACAGCUCUCCAUAUUUAGAUUAUUGCUACCCGAAGGACCGAGCCACUUCUCUGAAGCGAAUCAACGGAAAGGAUGCAACUUACAUAGAAAAGAAAUCGCAAGGCUACAACGCUGUGUGCGUUAUUAGGACAAAUCAUCCCAGUGAGCUCUACCGAUAUUUCAGAGUGCCUACAGAUGUUCGACAGCCUUUGCUUCCCACCGCGCCCAUCGAACCGGUUACCGUAAGCCAGCCAUACGCGGCAGGCGAUCCUUUGACAACGGCGAAGUACGUGGUCAUCAGCGGAAGCCCUUCAUAUCGCCGUGUAGCUCCAUUCCAACUGCCGACCACUAUGAGCGACGGCUCGUGCAGCGCGCUCGGGCGAAAUGUCGGUUUUUUGGAUUCCAUCAAAGGCACCUCAUGUACGUUGAAUGGCGCUCAAAUAUGCUUGCUGUUUCCAGUAGCAAAGUACCAGAACCUCUUUCUACAGUCUACGCUGGGGUACAACAGCAGUGCUCCUGAAUUUGUGCCCGUGACGCUGAAUCUUCACGACGCAUCCGGCGCGCUACUGGACACUCUGGGCCCCACCGUUGUCCCCACGCCCAGCACUUACGCAACAAUUUCUGACGGUAAAACGUGCAACAAUGCGGUUGUUGACCUUCACGCUCAUUUUUCUUACUCUUCGAAUGAAAGCGGGAAACUGAUAGAGGCAGCCCUUAACGUCACUCUGAGUAGCGUUGGGCUAAUGCAGUACGUUGCAUUAUCUUUUGAAGCCGCCUUCACCGGCGAAAAUGCAACUGUGCCGAGCAAUAUUUUUGCAGCAACUCCUGGGUAUCUCUCUGGUGACAAGAUUCGUUCUGGUACUUUAGUCACCCACGGCGGGAAGAGUGCUAUCCUGGAGCGAGAAAGUGGAUUCGCAGUGCCAGCUGGUGGCAGGCUGUGCGGCAGCAAUCAGUGGAGGCGAGCUAGUUUUCUCCACUCGAUCAUCAGCAGUGGGUGUCUAAUUUUGAUGAACGAGUCCGACCUGCAAGACAUUUGUAGCGUUGGGACUGGUCACCUCCUUGCUGCCCUGAUCAACGUCACUGUCGAUGGUGAACCCACCAUUCUGGAUCAAAUAGGUGUUACUAAUGAUGCUCUUGCAAACGACACAACGAGCUGGAUUCCUAUCACUGGGCUAUCAAAUGCUCUAACUUCCUCCAGUGGUACUUACAAUGCGUACACUCGCCAGUGCAGCAACAUUACGGUGGGCCUACAUUACCAGUUUGUGGUUGCGCGUGCAGGUGCCGAGUAUAAUCCGCAAGACAUCAUCGUCGGCGCGUUCGCUUCGCCCAUUGUUGGAACAUUUCAAAUCUGGAAUGAGACGAAUUUCGACGGAAACGCACUUUCAUAUCAGCAGUUCACCUUCAAGGUGACCUUCUCACGAUAUGACUCCAACUCACAGGCAACUAUUAUGCGCAGGAUUGUCGCGCCCCCAAUUCUGCCGCCUCUCGACGACAGUAUCUUCUACCCGUUCCACCGUUCACCUCCGGUGUGACGUGAAUUUGUCCUCAUAGAAUCAUUUCCUUUUCGCUGCAGGCUACCGCGAAUGAAAAGCUAGCCAGGCUUGGUACUUUCAUGUUUUACACAUGCUUUGUAUGCGACUCACAGACAAAAGCAGUGCGCUGAUUUUCAGCAACAAGUAGAGACACGACUUUCCACUAAUUACUGUGGCAAAAGAAAGGCGCUGCCUUUAUUCGACAAACCGAUACUUUUUUGUUCUUCGUGUCCGUACUCUGCCAUAGAAAGUGAGCUCAAGUUCACCCUAUCCCCAGCCUGGCAUAGGCCCCCACCAGCGUGGUCCAGAGCAGCCGUGUACACAGGUGUUACAGCAACGCACCGGCCCAGUUAUCAAAGCACGGCGGCUGCCUCACAGUCUACCCAGGCCGCCCCGCGGGUCGCCUCAGAGCCGCUCCCCAAUCAUGCCGGUCGCCACCUGGUGCAUCACCCUCGGCGUGGCUCAGGCUCCCCGCACCAGUGGGCAGUGAGGGCCGGGUGGGAUGCGUCGGAAUCACGAUGCCACCUCGCCUGUCACAUGAAUGGCCCGAGCAUAUUGGCUGCCGCGGGCCGCUCCAACGCAACGCCAUCCAGGACCUGACUGCCGGCGCCAGUAGCGAUGAAUUGCACUGACUUCCCCUCGCCGUAGGUGCUUGGCCCUUUCACCACGAGAAGUGGCUCGGCACUUCGCAGGGGAUCGAAAGGGGAGGGGGCUGCUUGACUUCCUUCCACACAGAAUGGGGGCGCUGAACCCUGGAUACCAUACUGAGGUGUCUCCCACCAUCAGGGAUGCAACAAUCGAAUAGGAGAAAAUGUGCGAAUACUGGCUGAUUUUACUCAAGCGACUUAUCCUUCUGCUUCUUUUCCAUGCUCUCAG